GCCUACUUUAGUUCAAACAGGCAUAUGAAAUCUGGCAACAAAUUCUCCAUAAUAGUCUACGGUUUCCGCUUCCCGUUCUUUCUUGAAGCUGUAGCCAUUACAGCAUCUUUGACAGAAAAUGAGAGCUAAGUGGCGCAAGAAGCGUAUGCGAAGGUUGAAGCGCAAGAGGAGAAAGAUGAGGGCUAGAUCCAAGUAAAUUUGAAUUGUCUGUUCCUCAAUGUCAACCUUACCUACAAAACAGAAUGGUACAAAUGGAGCCAGGCAUUCAAGAUACCUGUUCACUGUCAAAUUCUCUGACCACAAUAAACUUGUGCCAUUUAUCA